AACUGCGAAUGGCUCAUUAAAUCAGUUAUCGUUUAUUUGAUAGUACCUUACUACUUGGAUAACCGUGGUAAUUCUAGAGCUAAUACAUGCUGAAAACCCCGACUUCGGAAGGGGUGUAUUUAUUAGAUAAAAAACCAACGCCCUUCGGGGCUUCUUGGUGAUUCAUAAUAACUUUACGGAUCGCAUGGCCUUGCGCCGGCGACGGUUCAUUCAAAUUUCUGCCCUAUCAACUUUCGAUGGUAAGGUAUUGGCUUACCAUGGUUUCAACGGGUAACGGGGAAUUAGGGUUCGAUUCCGGAGAGGGAGCCUGAGAAACGGCUACCACAUCCAAGGAAGGCAGCAGGCGCGCAAAUUACCCAAUCCCGACACGGGGAGGUAGUGACAAUAAAUACUGAUACAGGGCUCUUUUGGGUCUUGUAAUUGGAAUGAGUACAAUUUAAACCUCUUAACGAGGAACAAUUGGAGGGCAAGUCUGGUGCCAGCAGCCGCGGUAAUUCCAGCUCCAAUAGCGUAUAUUAAAGUUGUUGCAGUUAAAAAGCUCGUAGUUGAAACUUGGGUCUGGCUGGCAGGUCCGCCUCACCGCGUGUACUUGUCCGGCCGGGCCUUCCUUCUGGAGAACCUCAUGCCCUUCACUGGGCGUGUUGGGGACCAGGACUUUUACUUUGAAAAAAUUAGAGUGUUCAAAGCAGGCCUUUGCUCGAAUACGUUAGCAUGGAAUAAUAGAAUAGGACGUGCGUUCCUAUUUUGUUGGUUUCUAGGAACGCCGUAAUGAUUAAUAGGGACAGUCGGGGGCAUCAGUAUUCAAUUGUCAGAGGUGAAAUUCUUGGAUUUAUUGAAGACUAACUACUGCGAAAGCAUUUGCCAAGGAUGUUUUCAUUAAUCAGUGAACGAAAGUUAGGGGAUCGAAGACGAUCAGAUACCGUCGUAGUCUUAACCGUAAACUAUGCCGACUAGGGAUCGGGCGAUGUUCUUUUUCUGACUCGCUCGGCACCUUACGAGAAAUCAAAGUUUU
rnacentral:rRNA from 1 species